CCUACGGGUGGCUGCAGGCGCGAAAACUUGGCAAUGCGAGAAAUCGUGACCAGGGAACUCCAAGUGGCUGGGGUAAGACCCAGUCUUUUCUUGACUCUUCAAAGGUCUUGGAAUAAGGGGUGGGUAAGGACGGUGCCAGCCGCCGCGGUAAUACCGGCGCCUCAAGUGGUAGUCGAUUUUAUUGGGCCUAAAACGUCCGUAGCCUGUUUGGUACAUUCGUGGGUAAAUCAACCAGCUCAACUGGUUGAAUUCUGCGAGCACGGCCAGACUUGGGACCGGGAGAGGUGUGGGGUACGCUCAGGGUAGGGGUAAAAUCCUGUCAUCCUGAGCGGACCACCUGUUGCGAAGGCGCCACACUAGAACGGAUCCGACGGUCAGGGACGAAGCCUAGGGGCACGAACCGGAUUAGAUACCCCGGUAGUC
rnacentral:rRNA from 1 species